UUCUAGAAUAUACUACCUCUGUUCCAAAAUAUAAGCAUUUCCAGGAUUCAAAUCUUGUUCCACAAUAUAAGCAUUUCUACCACUAUUUACACCACUACUUGUCCCAUCAAUCACUUUCCAUCCAAUUUUUUCCCCAUCCAACCCCCAACCCCCAACCCCCCUAACUCUCCCUCAUUUAUUGAGGGGCACCAAGUCUUUUUUCCUCAACCUUAAUCUUUGCUAAACAACCUAGAAAUGCUUAUAUUCUGGAUCAGAGGGAGUAUAUGAUAGUUCACU
rnacentral:pre_miRNA from 1 species